rnacentral:rRNA from 1 species
GACGAACGCUGGCGGCGUGCUUAACACAUGCAAGUCGAACGGAAAGGCCCUGCUUUUGUGGGGUUCUCGAGUGGCGAACGGGUGAGUAACACGUGAGUAACCUGCCCUUGACUUUGGGAUAACUUCAGGAAACUGGGGCUAAUACCGGAUAGGAGCUCCUGCUGCAUGGUGGGGGUUGGAAAGUUUCGGCGGUUGGGGCUGGACUCGCGGCUUAUCAGCUUGUUGGUGGGGUAGUGGCUUACCAAGGCUUUGACGGGUAGCCGGCCUGAGAGGGUGACCGGCCACAUUGGGACUGAGAUACGGCCCAGACUCCUACGGGAGGCAGCAGUGGGGAAUAUUGCACAAUGGGCGGAAGCCUGAUGCAGCAACGCCGCGUGCGGGAUGACGGCCUUCGGGUUGUAAACCGCUUUCGCCUGUGACGAAGCGUGAGUGACGGUAAUGGGUAAAGAAGCACCGGCUAACUACGUG